rnacentral:lncRNA from 1 species
AAAAGAUAAUGAGUUGCCCAUGGUUGAUGAGUUGAUCUCAGGAGCUGGCCUUGAGUUGAUAUGCCAUACUAGUAUUUAGCUAUUUAAAGGCUUAGUUCCCUUGAUAGAGUCAUUGCAUAAUUUCCUCAGUCCCUUGAGUUGUGCGCAUUGCCUUCGUUUCUUCAUCUCUUGUUAUCUUUUUGAGUUGUGCAAAAUGGCCCGCCUAGUACCUGAAAAUUGGGUAUGCAUCAAAGCUGAUGAAGAUGAUUUCUUCAAAGGGAUUGAUUUUUCAAAAAUCAACAAUGCCCUUCUCAUCUCAUUUCUAGAAGACUCGCAAGGAGAUCAAGAGCAUGAUGAUGAACAAUUACUAAGCAUGAUGCGAUCCUUAGAAACAGAGAUCCAUCCCAAUACCAUGAACAGCUAUGAUCCACUUGUGGAAGAAGCCCAAUUAGGCGUCCCAACUGAGGAUUUUCAACUGCGCAGGCAUGGGCUCGUGAAGGGUCAGGAUUGCUUGGCUGCACUUGACAUGGAAUUUGAUUGGAUUGAUACGGAGCUUUCACCUUAUCAACCAACUGAUCAUAUGACCGGCCACUACAUGGAGCAUUUUGGUCAUGAAAUGGACGGUGUAGUUGAAUUUGAAGGCGGCAGAGAUUAUAAUUCCCCAGUCGCUUGGCAUGUUUCCUUGGAAGAGCAUGGGUAUAAUUUUUUGUGCCAAGAAACUCAUGACUCAAUGGUGUAGAUUUUUCUAAGGUGUUCAAAAUCCGUAAAUCUUAAUUGUAAAGCUCUCGCAAUCCACUAUAAAUUGUAGAUGAUGGUGAUCGAUGAAUUUUAUGACAUCUUUCUCUUUCUCUCUCUCCAUAUAUAUAGACACAUGAAAGUAUAUAUCCCUCCCUUAAGUCCAUUCACAUGCUAUAUAUGUUUGUAACUUCAUUUUUUACAUUGAUAUUUUCUUUCUAUUCGUACAAAACAGAUGUAGGGUUCUGCACAUUUUUUUCACUUAUAAUUGAAGAUAUAGAAUCAUCAUUGAUUUCACUACAAGGAAAAAAACUUCAGUAAAAAACGACUGCAGUCAUUGUAUCUUAACAAUGACUCAUUUUGUUUGUCAUCAUUCACUUUGCAGCAGUUUGAACCAUAUAAACUUAAAGUCUCAUUAUGCCAUUUUAAAACUAAGUACAAGCCAAUUUAUGCCACAAAAAAUAAAAAGAAAAACCAUACAACAUAAUUAUAAAUAUGUUAAACCAUCAAACAUGUAAAUUCAUAUUAAGAAGGCUAAAGUUUAAGAUACUAGGUUUGUCAUAAGUUUUUAUGCUAACAAAAAAGAUCCUAAAAUAUAAACAUAGACCUUUUAAACACAAAAAUUUGUUGUAAUCUUUCUUUCUACUGAAAACUUGGUUCAAAAAACCUUGCAAAAGCUUUACAAUGAGGGCUUUGUAGCCUUCCAUAUAUAACAUCCAAAAUUUAUCAACUAAUCCUGUCAAUGUUAGUAGGAGUACAAUGAAGCUCGUUUGUCACAGUGCAGUUCAUUAUUCAAUGGGUUUAGUUCUCUAAAUCCUUUGAAAGUGAUAUUGUACUUUCAAAAAUCUAUAUAGCAUCAAAUAGAAAGCAAUCAAAUAUGAAGUCUUGCUUUAGGUAGGAAACAAUUAAUUUCCAAAACUAGCUUCAAAAUCUAAAGAACCAACUUGAGUGUCUUGAGAAUAAAAAUUAUGGUCAAAGUUUGAGAAUAUAAAGAUUUACAAAGACUAGGAAAAGAAAAAAAACAAAAUCAUUAAAGCUCCAUGAGUGCAAUAUGAACCAAAAUGAUGUAGAACACAAGUGGCUACUGCUACUAUUAUGGUUUUAGUAUAGUAGACAUUACAUAUUAGUGGCCAAACAAAGGCUAUAUAACCUAAAGUGCACUUGGUUAAGUAACUUCUAUCUAUACAUCUACUAUUUCAUAUAACUUCGAAUAGAAAAGUCUAUUGUAUUUAUUGUCUUUAAAAGAAGCACAAUUUUUUUAGUAUGCAAUAGAAGUCCUCUCAUAUCCAACAACUUAUGAAAGUACAAGAAAAAAAAAUACUAUACAUAUAUUAUUUGAGACUCAAAUGAUUGUUUAAUAUAAUCAACAUUUAUAACUAAUACUUGAUGUUCAAAAUACCUAUUCAACAUUUUUGUCUUUUUAACUAUUACAUAUGUUUGUUUAAAAUGUAUAUGUAAAAGAGAGAGAGAGAGAGAGAGAGAGAGAGAGAGAGAGAGAGAGAGAGAGAAGAAAGAGCUUCACGUACUUGUUCAACAUGUUGGUUUGUUAAGUAUUAGUUCAAUUACAAACUCCACCCAUUUAUAUAUUAAUUGAUCAAACUCUCUUGGGGAAGAGAGUAUUCCAACCCUUCCCUACAUAGAGAUGACACAAAAAGGGGAAAGAACUAGGAUAUAGUUGUAAUGACCAAAAUCAAUGGGGAACCUAAAGAUGAGUCUAAGAAUGUAGUCACAAUGACUAAAAUCAAUGAAAAACUAAAAAAUAAGACUAAGAACAUUUUCACAAUUAUUGUAAUUGAUUAAAAACUAAAGCCGAGACCAAAGAUGCAAUUGCAAUGAUUGAAAUCGGUGAAGAAACUAAAGACUAAAUGACAUAAUCAUGAUAACUGAAAUUGAAGGGAAACUAAAGAUAUUCAAAGGAUAUGGUAAUGAUGACUGAAAUGGAUGGGGAAACUAAAGACAAACUAAGGACAUGGUUGCGAUGACUAAAAUUGAUGAGAACUUAAAGAUAAGACCAAGGGCAUGAUCACAGUGACCAAAAUCAAUGAAAAAACUAAAAAUAAGACCAAUGAUGCAAUCACGAUGAUUGAAACCAACAGGAAGACUAAAGACAGACCAAGGACAUGGUUGCAAUGACCAAAAUUAGCGAGGAAAUUAAUAAUAGACCAAAGAAUUAGUUGGGAUGAAAAGAGUCAAUGGAAAACUAAAGACAAAUCACUUUGUUGAUUGAAACCAAUACGGAAACUAAAGACAAACCAAGGACAUGGUCACAACAAUUGAAAUCGUUGGGAAAAUUAAUGAUAGACCAAAGAAGUAGUUGGGAUGAAAAGAGUUAAUGGAAAACUAUAGACAAAUCGCUUUGUUGAUUGAAACCAAUAGGGAAACUAAAGAUAAUCUAUACUCCCACCAUGAAGCUUAUGACCAUUCUAUGGAAGAAUAGAAAAUCAUUUCUACAAGAGAUCAAUAAUCUAUACUCUUAAAAUGGAGCUUACAUCCAAAUCUAUUGCAAUAAAUAUUCAAAUGAUAAAAUGAAAGAUCUCAUACAUUCAUCCCUUUAGAUCAUGGGAUAAAUAAAAAUCCUAUAACACAAAAGUGAGUGCAUGACUACUACUAAAAAACAACACAUUUUAAAUAAUAAUUCUCAUGAAUUCCAUACCUUUUGAGUAGUAAUUAUGCCUAAUAUGCCCAAGUAAUACAUUGUUGCCCUUACAAGAGAUGCUAAUGAUUUUUGUGAAGUUUCAUAGAUAUUUCAAGGUGAUUUUUGAAGAAUUGAGUGACAAAAGAGAAAUGGAAUUGAGGAGGGCAAAUAAUGUGGAUGAUGAGGAAGAAUCAAUGCACUUGGAGCAAGAUUUGGAGGUAGUUGAGGUGGAUUCAAAAGGAGAAAUGGAAGAAAUGAAAAAAGAAAGCUUAAAAAUCAAAUAUUUUCAUUUCGCAUGAUCAUGCGAAAAUGCAUGUCUAUGCGAAAUGGACCACAAGGUGGAAUUAUGUUGUAGGCUAAAGGAGAAUUGUCAAGCUGAUUUUGCAUGAUCAUGCCAAAAUUUCGCACAGUCAGGCGAAAUGCUCUAGAAAGCUAUAAUUGCUAUUACUGAAUUUUUUAUUUUGCACAACCAUGCGAAAUUGACUGAGUUCGUGCGAAAUGGUCAUUUUGUUGUUAAACUCCAAGUUGCUUGAUGAAGAAGUUUCCGAAAGACCUUUUAGAUGAUGUGAAGUGUCCACUUGACCUUGGCUUUUAAAUAAAAACUUGAUUUUCUCAUGAAAAAGCUUUUUUUGGACACUUCUAAUUGUAGAAUUUUUCAAAUUUUCUCUCUCAAUAGAAUUCUCUAUUUUUCUUCAUUUUUUAUGAUUUUCGCACUAGCCAAACAUGCCUUGUGAGACCAAAUCUCCAAGCAUGAGUGGCUAAAUCUCAUUUUUCUCGGAGAAAGGAGGAUCUAGAGGCAAGAUUUAUGGUGAAUUAGAGAAAUGAGCUUUAAUUGCAAAGGUAAUUUAAUUCAAUUGAUUGAUUAAUUAAAUUUUGGGGAUUUUUCUCUUCAAAUUGUUUUGGAUGAUUACUACAAUUCAAACUAGGUAGAUUCAUUAAAUUCUUAAAGUUAGAUUUGAUGAGAUUGAAUAGUUGCAUUGUGUGAAUCAUUUGAAGAUAAUUUAAGAUGAAUUAAAUAUAUGAUUUGAAUUGAUAUCUUGGAUUAAAUAAUCUAAUUUGAAGAGAAAUUAGAUCUAGACUUAAAGUUACAUCUAAAAUCGGUUUAGAUGACAAUUUAGGUUUUCAAUCUAACUUGAUGAAAAUUAGAUCUCAAUAUCUAUUCACCAUGGAGAUUGUUUUCUAGAAAAUCCUAACUCUGAGAAUUUCAUUUCCUAUUAAUUUUCUUCUAUUUUAUAUUUCAUUGUUCUUCUCAAUUUGAGACCAUUGUUAAAUUGAUUUUUCAUCAUGAAUUUUCAAAUCAAUUUCACUUGAUCACAAUCAUUUCUUCUUCUCACAUUCAAGCCUUAAUUACCAAGAAUAAUCCACCCUAGUGGAUGACACCUAAAAACCACUAUACUAUAGUAGUUUGUACUAAAACCACUUUUUGAUCGGGUACAAGCUACUCUAGAAUAGUGAAUUAGAUUAUAAAUUGUGUUUUGAUGCGGUAAAUCAGAAAAAUCAAGCGAUAAAAAAUGCCACUGCUGCCGAGGAUGGUGCCAAGGUGAUUGAGGUUUUUUUUUUGGUGAGGAUUAACCCUUGUGAUCCACAUCACAAGCUUGGUGAAGUUCUCUUUACCGAUUCUCCACUUUCAUCUUAGUUUUCUUCCAAAUUUCAUUUUUCUUUUUCUUUUUCAUUUUUUUUCUUUUUGUUUUGUUUUGUUUUUUCUUUGUUUGUUAUGUAGGUGAACCCUUGUAUGCUCUAUUAAGAACGAAAUUCUAAGGGAAGGUUGGAAAGAACUAAUUCAUCUACUCAAGUGCUAAAUCUUGGAAUUGCUACAAAUAUAAUGAAACCUCAAGGUGAAGAUCAACAUGGUCCUAAUGAAGAAAAUUUCCAUUUGUAUCAAUCUAUGAGGGACCAUAUGCAUCCGCCGAGAAUGAGUGCACUAUCAUGCAUUGUUCCUCCAUGUGAGAAAAUGAUCAUCCAUCCUUAUUUGGUGCCACUUUUUCCUUAAUUUCAUGGAAUGGAGAAUGAGAAUCCUUACACUCAUAUAAAGGAUUUUGAAGAAGUAUGUCAUACUUUUCAAAAAGGGAUUGCAUCAAUUGAUCUUAUGAGACUUAAAUUGUUUCCUUUCACUCUCAAGGACAAGAAUAAAGUGUAGUUGAAUUCUUUGAGAACUCAAAGUAUCCACUCAUGGCCAAAACUACAAGCCAAAUUUUUUAAGAAAUUUUUUCCAGCUCAUUGUACUAGUGGAUUAAGAAAAUUUCCAAUUUUGUGGCUUUGGAGAAUGGAAUUUUUUUUGCUUGUUGGGAGAGAUAUAUGGCGGUUGUCAAUGCUUGUCCUCAUCAUGGUUUUGACACUUGGAUGUCAGUAAGCUACUUUUAUGAAGGUAUGUCGGCAGUUAUGAAACAAUUGCUAGAAACCAUGUGUGGAGGUGACUUUAUGAGCAAAAGUCCUUAUGAAGCUUUGGAUUUUCUAAACUAUGUGGCAGAAAUAGCUAGAUCAUGGGAUGAACCUCAUGGAAAAGACUCAAGCAAAGCCAAGCCCUAGAACAAUUCUAAAGAAGGAAUGUACACGUACUUUGAAUGAAGAUGUAGACAUGUAAACAAAAAUGGUAGCUUUAUCAAGGAGAUUGGAAGAACUUGAAGCAAGAGAAGCUCAUGAAAUCAAAGUGGUUAAUGAUAUUCCAAUGAAAAUUGUUUAAUGCUCUAUAUGUCAAUCCGAUCAACAUCUAGUGAGUGAAUGCCCCACCAUACCAACUGUUAGUGAAAUGUUUAUGGAACAAGAUAAUGCUAUUAGAUUUGUUAAACACUCCAAUAGUUUUCCAUUUUCAAAUACCUUUAAUUCAAGGUGGAAGAAUCAUCCAAAUCUAUCUUAGAAGAGUGGACAAGGACAAUUUUUUUCUAACAUGCAAACUUCUCAAAAUCAAGUUUCACCAAUAGAACAAGCUAUAGUGAAUUUGAGUAAAGUGAUGGGUGACUUCAUCGGAGUUCAAAAGAAUAUCAAUACUCAAGUAAAUCAAAGGAUAGAUCAUGUGGAGACAUCUUUCAAUAAGAAAAUUGAUAGCUUGAAAACCAAUCUCACACAAAAAAAUUGAUAAUAUGUAGCUUGCUAUUUCUAAACUCACAAGUAUGCAUACGAUGCAAGAAAAAGGAAAAUUCCCUUCACAAUCCAAACAAAAUCCAAGGGGAGUUCAUGAAAUUGGAGAAAAAAAUGAAAAUUUUGCUAAGGUAGAUGAAGUGAAGGCAAUUAUUACCUUAACAGGUGGUAAGCAAGUUGAUCAACUUAUGCCAAAACCAAAAGAGAACAAAGGAGGGGAACAAGAAGAAAAUGUGAGAAAAAUGAAAAGAAGUGAAUGAAGAUGAUAGAUCAAAGGAAGAUGAGAUUGUUAAUGAAGAGGUUAAGAAGAAAGACAAGCUCUUAUCUCCACCUUUUCCAAAAGCUCUUUAAUUAAGGAAAGUGGUAAAUAAUGCAACUGAAAUUUUUGAAGUUCUCAAGCAAGUCAAAGUUAACAUAUCACUUCUAGACAUGAUCAAGCAAGUCCCUCUCUAUGCUGAGUUACUUAAAAAUUUAUGUACAAUGAAGAGGGGGUUGGACAUAAAAAAGAAAGCUUUCUUAAUGGAACAAUGUAAGACUCCAAUAAAAUAUAAAGAUUUGGGGUGUCCUACCAUUUCGGUGAAUAUUGGAGAUAUGUAUGUAGAGAAAGCUCUUCUUGACUUGGGUGCAAGUGUAAAUCUUCUUCCUUAUUCGGUGUACAAGCAAUUGGGGCUAAGGGAACUCAAGCCUACUUCUAUCACAUUAUCUUUGGUGGAUAGCUCAAUUAAAAUUCCAAGAGGAGUGAUUGAAGAUGUAUUGGUUCAAACGGAUAAGUUUUACUAUCCGAUUGAUUUUAUUAUCCUUGAUACGGAGCCAAUAGCAAGUGGACCAAAUCAUGUUCCAAUUAUUAUUGGUAGACCUUUCUUAGCCAUAGCAAAUGCUUUAAUAAAUUGUUGGAAUGAGGUGAUGUAGCUCACCUUUGGGAAUAUGACUCUUAAGCUGAAUAUUUUUCAUCUAUGCAAGAGACAUCCAAAUCAAGAUGAGGAUGAACAAGAAGUUUGCUUGAUUGAUACUCUUAUAGAAGAACAUGUGGAAGCAAUAAUGAAGGAAGAGUUGGAGAAUAGUUACAAAGAAUUUGAAGAAAAUGAACUAGAAGAAAAAAUUGAGGAAGCUAAUGAAAUUGCCUCCAUUAAUCAUUCUAUGGAAUGGAAGGCAAAAGAGAAGCCUUUACCUCUAACCAAUGAUGAAGAAACAAAGAAGAAAGAAUCACCUAAGUUCAAUCUCAAGCCAUUGCCAAAUGAUUUGAAAUAUGCAUAUCUUGAGGAAGAUAGGUAUUCGGUGUUAAUCUCUUCAAAAUUAUCAUACCAACAAGAAAAUACUUUGAUGGAAGUUCGAAGGAAAUGCAAAGAAGCUAUUGGAUGGUCCAUUUCUGAUCAUAAGUGGACAAGUCUUUUGGUAUGCACUCACCACAUUUAUUUGGAGGAAAAUGCUAAGUCAAUUCAUUAACCUCAAAGGUGAUUGAAUCCUCACAUGCAAUAAGUUGUUCGAAAUGAGGUACUUAAGAUGCUAUAAGCUAGAAUUAUCUACUCUAUUUCAGAUAGCACUUGGGUAAGUCCUACUCAAGUUGUGCCUAAAAAGUCGGGAGUGACCGUGAUACAAAAUGAAAAGGGAGAAUCUAUUCUAAUAAGAUUGAUCAUGAGAUGGAGAGUGUGUAUUGACUAUCGAAAGCAGAACGUCGUCAUAAGGAAGGAUCAUUUUCCUCUUUCAUUCAUGGACCAAGUAUUGGAGGAGGUGUCGGGACAUCCUUAUUAUUGUUUUCUUGAUGGCUACUCUGGUUAUUUUUAGAUUGAGAUUGCCUUGGAAGAUCAAGAGAAGAAAAUAUUUACUUUCCCUUUUGGUACCUAUGCAUAUAGGAGGAUGCCAUUUGGUUUAUGCAAUGCUCCUACCACUUUUCAAAGAUGCAUGAUAAGUAUCUUUAGUGAUAUGGUAGAGAGAAUCAUGGAAGUUUUUAUGGAUGAACUUACCAUCUAUGGUGAGGAUUUUGAAGAUUGUCUCUCAAAUUUGAAAAAAAAGAAAAAAACUUCAAAGGUGCAUUGAGAAAAAUUUAGUGCUAAAUUGGGAGAAAUACUACUUUAUGGUAAAAAAGGCAUUGUCUUAGGUCAUUUGUCUCAAGGAAAUGAAUCGAAGUGGAUAAAGCAAAGAUUGAGCUAAUUGUGAAUCUACCACCACCAACAAAUGUUAAAGAAAUUAGGCCAUUUCUUGGUCAUGCUGGUUUUUAUAGACGCUUCAUCAAGGAUUUUUCUAAACUAGCAAGACCAAUGUGUGCCUUACUUGUUAAGGAUGCCAAAUUCAAAUGGGAUGAAAAUUGUCAAAAUUGCUUUGAAGAGUUGAAAAGACUAUUGACUAGUGCACCUAUUGUGAGGAGACCAAAUUAGGAACUUCCUUUUGAAGUUAUUUGUGAUGCAAGUGAUCAAGAAAUGGAAGCAAUUCUAGGGUAAAGAGAUGAAGAGAAACCUUAUGUUAUCUACUAUGCAAGCAAAACUCUUAAUGAGGCACAAAAGAACUACACCACCACUGAAAAAGAGUUGCUUGCAGUUGUCUUUACAUUAGAUAAGUUUAGAGCAUAUCUUGUUGGAGCUCCUAUAAUGAUCUUCACAGAUCAUUCAACUUUGAAAUACUUAGUCAACAAGAAGGACUUUAAAGCAAGGCUAAUUCGAUGGAUUUUACUUCUUCAAGAAUUCAAUCUUGAAAUAAGAGAUAAGAAAGGUGUAGAAAAUGUGGUAGCUGACCAUCUAUCCCAAAUUUUUGUGGAACACAUUCCGAAAAGUCCUCCCAUCAAUGAAGAAUUUCCCGAUGGUGCUCUUUUGAAAGUGGAUACCAAUCCAUGGUAUGCUCAUAUUGCAAAUUAUCUAGUCACCGGAGAACUACCUAAGGAAUGGACUACUCAAGAGAAAAGAUUUUUCUUGUCUAAGGUGCAUGCAUACUAUUGGGAGGAACCAUUUUUGCACAAGUAUUGUGCUGAUCAAAUUAUUAGGAAGUGUGUGCCAGAAGAAGAAAAACAAGGAAUUCUUAUGCAAUGCAAUGCUUAUGCUUGUGGAAGCCAUUUCUCUACUCAAAAGACAGCUUUAAAGCUUCUCCAAUCAGGUUUUUAUUGACUAGCUAUAUUCAAAGAUGCACAUGAAGUUUGCAAGUCUUGUGAUAAGUGUCAAAGGCUUGGGAAAUUGACAAAGAAACACAUGAUGCCACUUAACCCCAUAUUGGUAGUGGAAUUAUUUGAUGUAUGAGGGAUUGAUUUCAUGAGAUCGUUUCCAUCCUGUUUUGGACACUCCUAUAUCUUGUAGGAGUUGACUAUGUGUCAAAGUGAGUGGAAGCAAUAGCUUGUAAGCAUAAUGAUCACAAAGUGGUUGUAAAAUUUCUCAAGGAAAAUAUCUUCACAAUGUUUGGGGUGCUAAAGGCCAUUAUUAGUGAUGGAGGUACUCACUUUUACAAUAAGACAUUCAACAACCUUCUUGCUAGAUAUGGAGUGAAACACAAGGUAGCCAGACCUUACCAUCCACAAACAAGUGGACAAGUGGAGUUAGCUAACCUUGAAAUCAAGAAUAUCCUGAUGAAAGUGGUGAAUGCAAACUGCAAGGAUUGGGCAUUAAGACUCCAUGAUGCACUUUAGGCUUACCAAAUUGCCUUCAAAACAAUUCUUGGAAUGUCACCGUAUAGGUUGGUUUUUGGUAAGGCAUGUCAUCUACUAGUGGAAAUAGAGUAUAAAGCAUGGUAGGCUAUAAAGAAAUUGAAUUUUGAUAUGCAAGGAGUUGGGUUGAAGAGGGUCCUAGACUUGAAUGAGUUAGAGGAAAAGAGAAAUGAAGCCUGCAUGAAUUCAAAAUUUCCAAGGACAAACUCAAGAGAUGUCAUGAUCAAAUUGUCCUUAGGAAAAAGUUUCAAAAGAGACAAAAGGUGCUCCUAUAUGAUUCAAAAUUGCACAUCUUUUUUAGAAAGCUCAAAUCUUGAUGGAAUGGUCCAUACUUGGUUCAUAAGGCGUAUUCGAAUGGAGUUGUUGAAAUUGCUAAUCCAAAGAUUGGGAUAUCUCCAAAGUUAAUGGACAUUGACUUAAACCAUAUAUGGAACCUAUGGUGCAAGAGAAAGAGUAGCUAUACCUCCUUGAACCUUCCAUAAGUUGAGCAUUCAAGGUUUGGUGGGCUUAGUCUUCUAAAAGAUAACUAGCCCAAUGAUCUUGUAAUUCUUUUUCUUUGAAUUUUUCUAUUUUGUUUUUAUGUUGUUUGAAUUUUUUUUAGUCUUUAUGAAUGAACCCUUGUUAACCAUAUCAAUUGUGUUUUGAAGGACUUUUUGGUUGGAUGGAAUGCAUGAGGAAAAAGGAGUUUUAAUGGUCCAUCACCAGUUUGCACAUUCAUGCCAAAAACAGGGGAGUUUUUAUAGUUUUGAAAAUGCAAAACAAUGAGUCUUUAUCCCAGUUCGCAUGAUCAUGCAAAAUUUUGGCAUGACUAUGUGAAACUGAUAAGGAUAGCUGUAGUCUGGACCAUUUUGCAUCAUCAUGCGAAUAUUUCACAUGACUAUGCGAAAGUCAUCUUAAAGACUACAAUAAAAUGAGCACUCUGGACCACUUCGCACACUUAUGCGAGAAUUUUGCAUGUUUGUACCAAUUUUUUUUUUUUAAAUAUGUAGCAAAUAUAAGCCUCUGUUUCAUUUCGCACCAUUAAGUGAAAACAAGCCCUCAUUCCAAAACUCUUCGUCUUCAUCGGACACGAGAAACUGAAGAGGUAGAAGACCAUCAGUCCUUUUUCCCUUUCAUUCACACUCUCUCAUAUCUCUUCCUUGCCCUAAACCACGAUCAAACAUAAGAAAAUAUCAUUAUUCUUGUUUUUUUAUUUCUAAAGAUUUACUUGAGCAUUCUCAGCAUUUCAGGUAUUUGAUUUUUCACUCAUCUCUCUUUGAAAUUGCAAAAUGAAUCCGGAUUGAAAAGUUUGAUUUGCUUUGGGACCUUGUUGUAAUUUUUUGUGAAUUUUGGACAAAUUGAUAUCCUCUAUUCCAGUUAUCAUUCAAUUCAUUAAAUUGUCCACUGUAAUUUUUGGUUCUUUUUUGUUAUAGACGGGGAAUCAAAAACAAAAAUCAAUGGAAAUUAAGGAAGAGUUCAUGGUGAUUAAUGACAGAAAUGGAGAAGACACUGGUCUUGAAUUUCCUUCGGGAUUCUCCAUUUCUGAAAUUCCCAUUUCUGGACAUCCAAACCAAAGGCAUGUCACAAGAUCUUCACUAGAUAAAGGCAAAUCAAAGAUGGUUGUUCCUGAAAAAUUACCGGUGAAGAGAACACAAAGCAUCAAUAUUCAAAAUCCUUCAUCUCUUCCGACAUCCCCUGCUACUCCUUUAGUUCAACAUGUUGUAGUUAAGUCACCUAUUGCUGAAGCCCUUGCUCCUACUCCGGUUACAAAAUCUGCACCUCCAUCGAGCCGACCAAUUCAAUUUCAAUUCAUGAAAACCCUGAAUAAGAAACUAGCCACUGGUGCAAGAGAAGACUGUUCAGGUAGAAAAUUCCAUGAAGAAUCCUACUACGAUUUCAAGGCAUUUGCUGUAUCUCCUCUUCCUAAAUUCUCCAUGGAGUUGUGUCAUCAAUAUUUUUUGGAGCCAUUCAUGGUACCUAGACCAUUCUUUUAUCCUCGCAUAAUUUAGGAAUUUUACCAAACCAUGACUAGCAGAAAAGUCUAUCCUCCUUCAGUGAUCUAUUUCGAAAUCGAUGGGAGACAAGGUAUGUUGAAUAUUGAAAUGGUAGCAAGAGCCUUGGAUAUUCCUCUUACACCUCCAAAUCCAGCUGAGUUUCAACCUAUUACUCAAACUGAAGCUACUAAAAUGGUUCAGAUUGUCUCUCAAAACCAAUCCACCAAUACACAUGCAAUGUUGAAGAGAGAAAUAGAUUCCAAAUUCUGGUUUUUGGAUCAUGUCCUACGCUCCAAUGUUUAUCAUUUCCAACAUGCGAUGAAAAGGUGAGAAGAUAUACUAAUGGCAUUAUUUAGAAUUGUUAGUGGGUAAUGGUGGACACCUAUUGAAUUAUUCAUGGUUGUCCUAUUCUAUUUUGAAGACAAAGUGCAUUUGAAGAGGUUGCAAAGAGCCAAUAAAUAUCCAUUAUUCUUCCCUCGAAUGUUGGGCACCAUCUUGGAGUACUAUGGUUUCCUUACUGAACUUGGAAAAAAAAAAAAAAAACAUCAUUGUAAGGAAGUCUAUACUGUUUCCAGAUGGCAAGGAAGUGUGACCAAAACCAAGUCUACACUAACAAGUGCUUCAUUGACUACUGAUAAUGAACAUCAUUAUGUGUCUCCUCCAAAUUUGAUUCUUAAAGAUUUUGUUGAUAGAGAAGAUACAACCCCAAGACCACUAGUUGCCCCCACACCAGAAGUUUUUUUUUACUUUUCCAAAUAUUGAUGCAGCCGCACAUAUUUUGGCUAGUCUUUCUUCCACACCAAACACAAGUUCUUCAUCUUUUGAUGGUUAUGUACAUAUUUUAGCUGAGGCUUUCAAACAACUCUUAGCUCGUUUGGGCAUGAUUCAAGAAAAUCAAGCAAACAUCCAGCUCACUCAACAUCAACUUGUCCAAAGAGUUGAUGAACUUACCAUGGUUGUCCAAUAAUGGAAAUCUUCUUCUGAGAAGCCAACUAGUGUUCAUGAUGCUACUCCUCCGUCCAUCCCAACUACACAAAAGACUAAUUCUUCACAGUGGGAGUCCACAUUGCCUACCACUAUUGUGACACCUUAAGAGAUCAUCCUCUUUCCCCCGUCUCAUGAUUGAGGAUAGGGAGUGCCCCUCUACUUUUCUUCUUAACUGUCACUUUAUCAUUACAUAUACUCCUUGACUUCCUUCGUGUUUUUUUUUUUGUUAUGAUGAUAGUUUUCACUUUUUGUUUCCUCAUUUCCUACCAUACUUAUAAUUUUAUAUUGUUUUUUUUUUUUUUAAGUUAUAGGAGCUGAAAAACAAUGCUUUGCAGGUACCUUUCCCUUCAUUUCUUUGCAUUUUCUCGAUUAACAUUGAAGACAAUGUUUAGUUUGGUUGGGGGAUGAUAAGAAAGGAAGAGAAAGAGGUUUCUUGUUGAUUUAAAAUUGUAAGAUAUUUUUUUCUUUUGUUUCUUUUGAUUGUGAUAAUUUUUAUUAGCUAGAUUUUUUUAAAACUUAAUUGGUAAUUUUUUUAGAAGAACAUAACACUUAUGUCUGAUGAAUGAGCAUACCUAGCUUGAAAGGAGUUGAUUUGGAAUACCAACUCAUUUGUGUGAUCUUAUAAAAUUUGUUAUGUUGAUUGAAUUUGAUUUGACUUUGAAGUUUUCAUUUUCCCAAGGGUCUUUUCUAAUUGAGUCUUGACACACACUAUGCACUCUAGACCCUUGAUAUAAGAUGAAACACUAGUCUAACCCUAAAACUUGGACCCAAUUGUUUUAGUACUUGAAUCACUUUUAAAUUGAGUUGAGACACCUUAAAAAGAGCCUAAUAAGGCCACCUUAAAAAAAAA